GGCCGCGGGAAUUCGAUUCAGGCCUAACACAUGCAAGUCGAGCGGAUGAGUGGAGCUUGCUCCAUGAUUCAGCGGCGGACGGGUGAGUAAUGCCUAGGAAUCUGCCUGGUAGUGGGGGAUAACGUUUCGAAAGGAACGCUAAUACCGCAUACGUCCUACGGGAGAAAGUGGGGGACCUUCGGACCUCACGCUAUCAGAUGAGCCUAGGUCGGAUUAGCUAGUUGGUGGGGUAAUGGCCCACCAAGGCGACGAUCCGUAACUGGUCUGAGAGGAUGAUCAGUCACACUGGAACUGAGACACGGUCCAGACUCCUACGGGAGGCAGCAGUGGGGAAUAUUGGACAAUGGGCGAAAGCCUGAUCCAGCCAUGCCGCGUGUGUGAAGAAGGUCUUCGGAUUGUAAAGCACUUGAAGUUGGGAGGAAGGGCAGUAAGUUAAUACCUUGCUGUUUGACGUACCAACAGAAUA
rnacentral:rRNA from 1 species